rnacentral:rRNA from 1 species
GGGCUUGACAUCCCACGAACCUGUGGAAACACGGGAGUGCCUUCGGGAGCGGAGAGACAGGUGGUGCAUGGUUGUCGUCAGCUCGUGUCGUGAGAUGUUGGGUUAAGUCCCGCAACGAGCGCAACCCUUGUCCUCUGUUGCCAUCAGGUAAUGCUGGGCACUCUGGGGAGACUGCCGGUGACAAACCGGAGGAAGGUGGGGAUGACGUCAAGUCCGCAUGGCCUUUAUGUCUGGGGCCACACACGUGCUACAAUGGCCGGUACAAAGCGUCGCGAUCCCGCGAGGGGGAGCUAAUCGCAAAAAGCCGGCCUCAGUUCGGAUUGCAGGCUGCAACUCGCCUGCAUGAAGUUGGAAUCGCUAGUAAUCGCAGAUCAGCAGGCUGCGGUGAAUACGUUCCCGGGCCUUGUACACACCGCCCGUCACAUCACGAAAGCUGGCUGUACUCGAAGUCGCUGAG